UUUCAUUAUAUCAUUUGUCAUUUGGUUUGAUUAUCUUGAUAUAUAUAUCAUAUGAUACAAAAUCAUAAACGAAUCCAAUAAUUUUGAAGCCCAUUGGCAAGCCUACUUAGUAAUGAUGUCGUUUGAAGUUUGAACCUCCAAAGAAAUCUAAACUCUGCCUUUAAUGUGUUACUUAAUUAGGUUGAAAAUCGUCUCCAUCUUCCACGAUACAACAUCGCCGUCUCUGCUGUUGUUAAAAAAACUUAUCUGUCAACUUUUGACCUCCCAUAUCUCUUCAACUUCGUCUCUUGCAUACCCUUCGUUCAAUGUUUCUUUUUUAAUAUAUACAAUGGAUCUUCAGUUCACAUUGAAAUCAUUAAAGCUCACCAACUCUUCGUCUCCCUACAUUUACAAUAGAAGCUUUAUGCCUGUUAAAACCGGUAAACACCUCAAACCCUAUAAAUAAGAGAGGCUAGGGUCUGGAAUCACACCCCCACAAACUCCUUUUCUCAGUUUAUCUUCACUCGAAAACCUAGAAGAUUCUUUCAAAAUGUCUUCUUAUGAUGUUGUUGUCGCCCAAUCAGCCGUCCGACUUGGCCGCACUUCCCAAUUCAUUGUUGGUCGCCUCCUCCACUUUUGUGAUCCCGUAAUAUCAAGAAAUGGGAAUCACUCUUCUUUUCCUCGAUGAAAAGAGAUCUGUGAUCCACUGAUCCAUCGUUACGGACGGAUGGAUCACUACCGUCCCGGUUCCAUCGUCAAAGUUGAUAGGUUUUGAAGUUGAAAGAUGUUCAUCUGUUUAUAGCCUCCUACAAAGGCUGGUCGUUGUCUUAUACGUCGGAUGCAGCAGGAAGUUGGAAAAAUUUGGCACUUCUCUCUGUUGUAACAAAUAUGUUUCUCCCAACGUUACAGUUGUGAUCAGGUAAAAAGUUAACAUCCUCACCCAUAAAAUAGGGGAACACGUUUUUUUGGGAUAUAUAUUAACAUUUUUCAAACUUUUUUUACAAGUAUCAUGUCGAACUAUACUUGCAACUACGGCAACGAUAGUGACAUAUGUGGUCUUCAACAGGGAGAUGACCAAGCUCACUAAGCAAGAUGCUGCUGCUCUGGCUCUUGAGGGAGUUAAUCUUUUGGUUUUACACUUCAUUUGACCCAUGUUUAGAACUGUAACAAGCACUAAUUGUUUCACAAACGUACUAUAGAUAAAUGACGGUGGAGGGCAAAAACUACCAAGAUGUAUUUAAAAGCUUGCUGCCAAGGAAUACUUUUUUUUCAGAUACGUGCCACUCCAUACAAUUUUGUCCCAAACCACCGUGUCUGGGUCUGCAGUCAGUGACACCAGUGCCGGCUUUGGGGUGGUGCUGAAGGGCCCACAUACAUUUUAAGCCGGGCCUGAGUGACACCGAGAGUAGCAGCAGCUUCAAAGCUCCAGUUAUUGGAGGGGAAGGUCGAGAAGCUACAGCUUCUGCAAGCAACACGUUUCCAGCGGCGAAGAUAGAAAUCAGAGGCGGUGAAGCAAAGAUAAUAGCCGCAAACACCCCUAAGUGAUAGUUUCAGCAAUGUUCAUACAUUUAAGUUUUCUAAAUUCUUAUGUUUUUACCUAUUUUGAACUUUGGUUUUUCCCUUUUAUUUUCGGCAAAAUACCUCCCACCAAAAAGAUAGUGACUAAGAUUUUAUAUAAUAAAGGCAGCGUUGACAAAAUGUUUAAAA